UUAUUUCUUUAUUUGCUUAAUUCUGUAAAUAAUUGAGAAAGUUUUUGGUAUUUUUACGUUUUUGUUGGAACAAUUUUUCUUUCAUUUUUGUUGCUACGAGGAUAGUAAUCAAAUAAGGGGGUUGGGGAAGAUGAAGUAUCCCCCGCACCCCUUGAUUGCUCAAUACAGACCUGUGGGUCCCUCUUCUUUGGGCCUAGAGCAUUUUCCUAGCUACACCCAUAAUUUCC
rnacentral:lncRNA from 1 species